AGGGUUCGAUUCUGGCUCAGGACGAACGCUGGCGGUGCGCCUUAUGCAUGCAAGUCGAGCGAAGCUUUUCAGUAGUUUACUACAGAAAAUGACUGAGCGGCGAACGGGUGAGUAACGCGUGAGCAAUCUACCUUAGUUACAGGGAUAGCCCGAGGAAACUCGGAUUAAUACCUGAUAUUCUUUAUUUCUCGCAUGAGAAUAAAAGGAAAGGUCAGCCGAACUAAGAUGAGCUCGCGUUCUAUCAGCUUGUUGGUGAGGUAAAAGCUUACCAAGGCUACGACGGAUAGCUGGUCUGAGAGGACGAUCAGCCACACUGGGACUGAGACACGGCCCAGACUCCUACGGGAGGCUGCAGCAGGGAAUAUUGUGCAAUGAACGAAAGUUUGACACAGCGACACCGCGUGUGGGAUGACGGAUCUAGGUUUGUAAACCACUUUCAGGAGGGAAGAAAAUGACGGUACCUCCACAAGAAGCCCCGGCCAACUACGUGCCAGCCGCCGCGGUAAUA
rnacentral:rRNA from 1 species